GAUGAACGCUGGCGGCGUGCCUAACACAUGCAAGUCGAACGGACGGAGCUGAUUGCUUGCAAUUAGCCGAGUUAGUGGCGGACGGGUGAGUAACGCGUGGGUAACCUGCCCUGUACAAAGGAAUAACUAUGAGAAAUCAUAGCUAAUACCAUAUAAGCCUACAUUAUCGCAUGAUAGAGUAAGAAAGAUUUAUCGGUACAGGAUGGACCCGCGUCUGAUUAGCUAGUUGGUAGGGUAAAGGCCUACCAAGGCGAUGAUCAGUAGCCGGCCUGAGAGGGUGAACGGCCACAUUGGGACUGAGACACGGCCCAAACUCCUACGGGAGGCAGCAGUGGGGAAUAUUGCACAAUGGGGGGAACCCUGAUGCAGCAACGCCGCGUGAAGGAAGAAGGUUUUCGGAUCGUAAACUUCUAUCGAUGGGGAAGAAAAAUAGACGGUACCCAAAUAAGAAGCCCCGGCUAACUACGUGCCAGCAGCCGCUGUAAUACCUGAGACGCCAAGGC
rnacentral:rRNA from 2 species